ACUGAAAAAGAAUAAAGGGGGCAUGUUUCAACAAUGGUGUGAGUACAUAUAAUCUUUUUUUUCCUGGGGUGAGAAUGUAUUCCACGGUAGCAGUGUGACCCUAACAAGUUGAGCAAAAUUCAGUGAAUAAGAAAAAUGUGUUUAUGGCCUUGUAAAAGAACUACAAAUAGGCAUUGCGCUGGGGAAAUAUACAUGUGCGUCAUGGUCACUUGUGGGCGGCUGGUGCUUUACGUAUCCCACAUGCUCUUACCAAGAUAAAUACAAACAAACUAACAUGAAAAGACCCCUCCCCAAUACAAUCAACAAAUUUGGCCUGGUUAUGUUUCAUUUUGCAGCCGAUCAUUGCUGUGGUGCAACUGGGGUACAUUUUGCAGGGAGCACUUGGGAGCCCUCAUUUUCUGGAGGGAGCACUCAUUUUCUGGAGGGAGCACUCACUGGGUUUAGUGGCAGUUAAACACUGACCAGACUGACCGCUGUCACCAGAUUCUUUUAAUUCCCUUGUUCAAUUUUUGAGGGGGGGAACAGGCUUUGAGUGGGGGCUGGUGCCUCCAUGCCCUCCCCCCUUUAAGUACGCCCCUUGCCCUUAGAUAUUUAAAUUGACCGUUUAUACACCUUGAGGUUCAUUGUUGGGAAGAACUAUACUGUAGGUUAAAAUGAAAAAGUAAGAAAAAGCAACUGUAAGCUUAAACCCCACCCAAAGAGAUGGAGAUUAUUGAUGACAUGACUUCUUAAUGUGGAGUUGGGAUAUAGUCGAUGUUGGACAUGGUACAGUUCUAAUUCUUUAUAUUUCAAAGAUUCAUUACAUGUCAUAGCUACAGCAAAGUAAACAUGACAAUAAGGACUCACCACACGACGAGUCGGUGUCUUUGGGACCUGUACAUCGAGAAAAAGAGGGAAACGUAUAAAUCGCAUUUACAGGGGAGUUAAGUUGAAAUUACAGGCCGACAAAAGACGAAUGACUGAAAAUAAGGGAGAGAAGUUCUAAACAUUUCACUGACUGAUAAAAUGCUGAAGACGUGGAAUAAAAUGUUAAUGUGAGAAGCUGUGAUGCAAAAGGACACAGCAGUCUAAAAACUGAUCGAAAAUUGACGAAGGAUGCGGAGACUGCACUCAAAAUUGGAAAUGAACACAAACGUUUCACUAAACACGUGGAGAAACCGCUUGCCUGUCGUCAUUUGACAGCUUAUGGACAUGAUGAAAAGUGCUCGUUUGAAGUUGAGCCUGCAAGCCUAGCCUGCAGACAGAAAAGAUGAGAAACGAAAGUUGAGAAAAUGUCAAGGGUGAGUGUACAUGGUUUGCCUAGUUGCAG